GGGCAUUUUUAGUUUGGUUCCAUUAUUGCAAAGUAUAUAUUUCCCUCAUGUUCUUCUUGCUAUGUUCUCCAAUUUGUCUGUUUUGGGCGUUGAGGCAGAGAGACACUACUACUACUGGACUCAACCCCAAAAGGAAGAAAAAGAAGUAGCGGCCGGUGACUUUAUAAGAGAUGAGAUCAUAUGGACUCGAUCGGCUGCACCGGCAGUUCCGGAGAGGUUUUUAAUUGGCGGCUCCAGGGAUGGACAACCAGUCUUUAGGUAUUACACGCCCGCUCUGACAUAUGAUAUGGAGACCCGUAGUGUUUCUUAAAACUAUCACGAUAACACUGUACUACUACUAAUUAGGUGGAGUAUAAAUCUCGAGAAAGGCACGUGUCGUGUCAAUACAUCAACAUGAGACGAGACGCGUAACCUUGAGGAGGAGGAGAAGGGUCAUGAUAUGAUCCAUCACAAUUAUAUAUGAACUCCUAACUAAGUUAAUGGGGGUUGGCGGCAAUGGAAGCAGCGGCGUGCGUAUAGCAAAAUGAAUGAAUGAAUGAGAGGAUUAAAAUUGUGCUACGUACUUAAUCUGGUGCUUAUAUAUAUUUUUGUUGUUAGGAAAAGUAGGACCGAUCGACCGAUGUCAUUAAAUUUAUUAAUUUUCUCCAAAGCUAGCUAGCUUAUUGUUCGUGUUGAGCUGGGCAAGUAAUAAUUCCAUGAUUCUGUGUUUUGACGAAUAGUAAAGAUUAAAGUCGGUUCAAAUCGAUGAUUGCUUUUGACUUUUA
rnacentral:lncRNA from 1 species